AUUCCUGGGUUUGCUGGGCUAGAACUGGCUAGAGAGGGCACAGCAAGAGGCAGGCUUCACCUUGCACUCCCUCCUGUUCGGGUGCCAGGCCAUUGUCCCACCCAGUCUUGUCCACCCUGAGCAGGCUUUCAAAGGGAUAGAAAAAGAAAGUCUUGCAUGUUUGUUUAAGGGGAAAAAUGUGGGGCAGGGAGCGGGCGUGCAGCCCAGUGUUAGCGCCAGGGCCCUUUCACAGCUGCACCUGCAGAGCUGGGGCAGGACUGGGCAGGAACCAGGGUCCUGGGGAGAGGUGGGUCUGUGUCUGCUGGACCCAGGUCUGAGGGGGUUUGGGCCCCAGGAAAGGCCAGGAAGGGCAUUUGUGUGUUCUGGGGAGCAGCUGCGGAGAGCUCCCCAGAGGGAAGAAGCAGAAGGACUUGAGGCCCAAGCACCUGGUGCUAGUCCUCUGGACAUCCCAGCCACUUUUGCUGCGACUUGGUCCUCCCGGCCUGGGGGAGGCAGCCACCUCCUGGCUCCUUUCUGCUGGAAAAGCUCUGUCACCCACCCAGGCUGUGUGACCUCAGGGGAUGUCUGAGCAUCUCUAACCUGCAGGAGUGGGGCCAAGGGGCCUCUUAUCAGGCUCUCCCACUCUGAUGUCCAAGAACAGAUAAGGCCAUUCUCUACCUCCUGCCUUACCUUAUCCCCUUGGCCUCAGGGUACACCAGUGGAGGGGAGGUGGGGCUGCCUGGUGGUUCAGCCUCAAGCUCUGGGAGGUUCAAAUCCCAGCUCCCCCACUUCCUGACUUCGUGGGACCGAGAGCAGGUAGCUUAAACUCUGUGAACUUGUUUCCUCAUCUGUGCGACGAGGAUAAUGGAAACAGUCCCUGCCUUCUAGAACUAGAUAGGCAUAGAAAUUGCUCAGCAUAGUGCCUGGCACACAUAAAGUGCUUCCCUGCUGGCCGAAUCUUUUGGGGACACCUCUUGAGCUAGCAUUCAGUGAUGCCAAGCACAAUUAGUCCCAAAGCAAAAGGAAGUCAUUUAUGAAUUAUCCCCUGAUGCUUUUGUCAGCCGUUUUUUAGUUUGGGGAAGAAUAUUUGGUGUGGCUUCACCCUCCCCAUCCCCAGACAUAUGUGCACCGAUGCACACCCACGUACAGGAAAUUGAGAGCAGGUGGUGGAAGCCUCUCUCUAGGCAGGGCUGCACUCUCCCAUUCAUUCACUCAACACAUCUUUACCAACCAACUUCUGUGUAGCACUGGGGAGACCAUGAUGAGUGACACAGGGCCUCUGCCCUCCCAGAGCCUGCAGUCUAGUGAGGAGCCCUAGGCCAGGAGCAGGAGGCAGGGAGACUAAGCCUGAGGCGAUGGAAGCACGGGCUCACAGAGGUGGCAUCCGACCCAGAUGGAGGGCUCAGGAAAGGCUUUUUGGGAAAGUGACAUGUGAGCUGAAACUUGGAGGAUGCUUGAGUUAGCCUCAUAAAGGAUGUGUGUGCGUGGAGUGUCUCAGGCGGAGGGAACGGCACGUGCCGAGGCCUGGAGGUUUGGUGUGUGGGUGUAUCGGAAGGAAGGAAUGUGUUGAAAGAGGAGGAGGUGGGGUGAGGUGAGGCUGAAAGGUAGGCCAGCUCCUGCGGGGCCUCGGAAGCCAUUGAGGAACCUGGGUUUUCUCUGGAGGGCGG
rnacentral:lncRNA from 1 species